CUGUUUUCAAUGUUGUAAACAGUGGUCCUUGUCUGAUCACCGAAGUUAAGCAAUGUUGAGCCCAGUCAGUACUUGGAAGGGUGACCACCUAGGAACACCGGGGGCUGUAGGCU